AACGAACGCUGGCGGCAUGCCUAACACAUGCAAGUCGAACGAGACCUUCGGGUCUAGUGGCGCACGGGUGCGUAACGCGUGGGAAUCUGCCCUUGGGUUCGGAAUAACAGUUGGAAACGACUGCUAAUACCGGAUGAUGACGUAAGUCCAAAGAUUUAUCGCCCAAGGAUGAGCCCGCGUAGGAUUAGCUAGUUGGUGAGGUAAAGGCUCACCAAGGCGACGAUCCUUAGCUGGUCUGAGAGGAUGAUCAGCCACACUGGGACUGAGACACGGCCCAGACUCCUACGGGAGGCAGCAGUGGGAAUAUUGGACAAUGGGCGAAAGCCUGAUCCAGCAAUGCCGCGUGAGUGAUGAAGGCCUAGGUUGUAAGCUNUUUACCCGGGAUGAUAAUGACAGUACCGGGAGAAUAAGCUCCGGCUAACUCCGUGCCAGCAGCCGCGGU
rnacentral:rRNA from 1 species